rnacentral:rRNA from 1 species
UACGUAGGGUGCAAGCGUUGUCCGGAAUUAUUGGGCGUAAAGAGCUCGUAGGCGGUUUGUUGCGUCGGCUGUGAAAUCCCGAGGCUCAACCUCGGGUCUGCAGUCGAUACGAGCAAACUAGAGUGUUGCAGGGGAGACUGGAAUUCCUGGUGUAGCGGUGAAAUGCGUAGAGAUCCGGAGGAAUACCAGAGGCGAAGGCGGCCUACUGGGCUGCACCUGACGCUGAGCCGCGAAAGCCAGGGGAGCGAACGGG